UGGUGGAGUGAUUUGUCUGGUUAAUUCCGUUGACGAACGAGACCUCGACCUUGUUAAAUAGUUCGACGAAUCUUUUGAUUCGAUCAGAUACUUCUUAGAGGGACUAUGGGUGUUAGCCCAUGGAAGUUCGAGGCAAUAACA
rnacentral:rRNA from 1 species